GAAUUGCAGAACUCCGUGAACCAAUGGCCUCCUGAACGUACGUUGCACUCUUGGGAUUUCCUGAGAGUAUGUCUGCUUCAGUGCUUAGCUUGCCCAAUCUUGCGGACAGAUUGUGUUUCUGUCUUGCGCCCCUGUGAGCCAUUGAAUGUCUACUCAGUGGCUUAUUGAAUGAUUUGGUCUUGCAAAAGCUUUGCGCGCUGCUAUUCAAGAUUCCACCUUAAAGUGGUAUUGCUUGAGUGACGCUGCUUAUGCUUGCAGCUGCUGGGAUGCUAGCGCAUGCCUCUAGCAUGAAGUCAGACAAGCGAACCCGCUGAACUUAAGCAUAUGGAUCCC
rnacentral:rRNA from 3 species